rnacentral:rRNA from 1 species
UAGGGAAUCUUCCACAAUGGACGCAAGUCUGAUGGAGCAACGCCGCGUGAGUGAAGAAGGCUUUCGGGUCGUAAAACUCUGUUGUUGGAGAAGAAUGGUCGGCAGAGUAACUGUUGUCGGCGUGACGGUAUCCAACCAGAAAGCCACGGCUAACUACGUGCCAGCAGCCGCGGUAAUACGUAGGUGGCAAGCGUUAUCCGGAUUUAUUGGGCGUAAAGCGAGCGCAGGCGGUUUUUUAAGUCUGAUGUGAAAGCCCUCGGCUUAACCGA